rnacentral:rRNA from 1 species
UAAAUACUUCCUAGCGACCGAUAGUGAAGCAGUACCGUGAGGGAAAGGUGAAAAGCACCCCGGAAGGGGAGUGAAAUAGAACCUGAAACCGUGUGCUUACAAAAAGUCAGAGCCCGUUUUAGGGGUGAUGGCGUGCCUUUUGUAGAAUGAACCGGCGAGUUACGUUCCCGUGCAAGGUUAAGGUGAAGAGCCGGAGCCGCAGCGAAAGCGAGUCUGAAUAGGGCGACAUAGUACGUGGACGUAGACCCGAAACCGGGUGAUCUACCCCUGUCCAGGGUGAAGGUGCGGUAACACGCACUGGAGGCCCGAACCCACGCAUGUUGAAAAAUGCGGGGAUGAGGUGGGGGUAGCGGAGAAAUUCCAAUCGAACUCGGAGAUAGCUGGUUCUCCCCGAAAUAGCUUUAGGGCUAGCCUCGGAAAACAGAGUCGUGGAGGUAGAGCACUGAUUGGGUGCGGGGCCCGCAAGGGUUACCAAGCUCAGUCAAACUCCGAAUGCCAUAGACUUACUUCCGGGAGUCAGACAGUGAGUGCUAAGAUCCAUUGUCAAAAGGGAAACAGCCCAGACCAUCAGCUAAGGUCCCCAAGUGUGUGUUAAGUGGGAAAGGAUGUGGAGUUGCACAGACAACCAGGAUGUUGGCUUAGAAGCAGCCACCAUUGAAAGAGUGCGUAAUAGCUCACUGGUCGAGUGACUCUGCGCCGAAAAUGUAACGGGGCUAAACACACCACCGAAGCUAUGGCUUGAUGCUUUGCAUCAGGGGUAGGGGAGCGUUGUAUAAGGGUUGAAGGUGUACCGUAAGGAGCGCUGGACAUUAUACAAGUGAGAAUGCCGGUAUGAGUAACGAAAAGAUCAGUGAGAAUCUGAUCCGCCGAAAGCCUAAGGGUUCCUGAGGAAGGCUCGUCCGCUCAGGGUAAGUCGGGACCUAAGGCGAGGCCGAAAGGCGUAGUCGAAGGACAACAGGUCGAAAUUCCUGUACCACCGUAAGCCGUUAUGAGCAAUGGGGGGACGCAGCAGGGUAGUGACGCGGACUGAUGGAUGUCCGUCUAAGCAGUGAGGCUGAUGUGUAGGCAAAUCCGCACAUC